GGCCAACUGCUGGCUCCUUCUGCAUCCUCUCCAUCCCUCUGGGAGCUCUAGAGCCAGUCCCAGUACAGUGCCUGGCACACAGUAGGCCCUCAGUAAAUACCCAUUGCACGAAUGGACUCCCAGCCUGUAGUCUUGUGACAUGUCUCCCUUUGGCUUAUGCCUGAUGGCUGAGAAGCUCCGUGUAUGUGGCUUAGCUUGUCACCUGGUUUAUAAUGGGUAGCAAGGCAAGGAGUGGGGAUGUGAUACACACAGGAAGGUUUGCCAACAGGUUCCUCUCCUUCUGCCAGAGCCCACAGGAGGUUUUGUGAGCUGCUUCCCCAGGAGCACCGGAGCACGGAGGAGUCACUGCACACACGAGUGUCCUUGGAGCAGAUCCUCAGCCUUCCAGAGCUCAAGGUGCCAGUCCCCCACCCUGCCUGUGCUAUUCAUCUUGAGAUCAUGUGGUCACUAGUCCCCCAUUCUGGUCUUUCCUCCAUUUAGUCCCAAUUUCCUGGGGACAAGGGCUUUAUCAAAAUCACCCAGUGGAAUUAACCAGAAUGGUGUUUUUCAAACUGGGAUUCUUGGACAUAUUAUUGGAGAGUCAAGUAAGUUU
rnacentral:lncRNA from 1 species